rnacentral:rRNA from 1 species
UACGUAGGGGGCAAGCGUUGUCCGGAAUUAUUGGGCGUAAAGAGCGUGUAGGCGGCCAGGUAGGUCCGUUGUGAAAACUCGAGGCUCAACCUCGAGACGUCGAUGGAAACCAUCUGGCUAGAGUCCGGAAGAGGAGAGUGGAAUUCCUGGUGUAGCGGUGAAAUGCGCAGAUAUCAGGAAGAACACCUAUGGCGAAGGCAGCUCUCUGGGACGGUACUGACGCUGAGACGCGAAAGCGUGGGGAGCGAACAGG